GCAAGUCGAACGAGAAACCUGGUGCUUGCACAGGGUGGACAGUGGCGAACGGGUGAGUAACACGUGGAUAAUCUGCCUCCAGGAUGGGGACAACUACCCGAAAGGGUAGCUAAUAACGAAUAAGAUGGUAGUUAUAUAAUUAACAGCCAUUAAAGGUGGGGACCUUCGGGCCUACUGCCUGGAGAUGAGUCCGCGGCUGAUUAGCUUGUUGGUGGGGUAACGGCCUACCAAGGCAACGAUCAGUAGCCGGCCUGAGAGGGUGAAC
rnacentral:rRNA from 1 species